rnacentral:rRNA from 1 species
UACGGGUUGUGAGAGCAAGAGCCCGGAGAUGGAACCUGAGACAAGGUUCCAGGCCCUACGGGGUGCAGCAGGCGCGAAACCUCCGCAAUGUGAGAAAUCGCGACGGGGGGGUCCCAAGUGCCAUUCUUAACGGGAUGGCUUUUCAUUAGUGUAAAGAGCUUUUGGAAUAAGAGCUGGGCAAGACCGGUGCCAGCCGCCGCGGUAACACCGGCAGCUCUAGUGGUAGCAAUUUUUAUUGGGCCUAAAGCGUCCGUAGCCGGUUUAAUAAGUCUCUGGUGAAAUCCUGUAGCUUAACUGUGGGAAUUGCUGGAGAUACUAUUAGACUUGAGACCGGGAGAGGUUAGAGGUACUCCCAGGGUAGAGGUGAAAUUCUGUAAUCCUGGGAGGACCGCCUGUUGCGAAGGCGUCUAACUGGAACGGUUCUGACGGUGAGGGACGAAAGUUAGGGGCGCGAACCGGAUUAGAUACCCGGGUAGUCCUAACUGUAAACGAUGCGGACUUGGUGUUGGGGUGGCUUUGAGCUGCUCCAGUGCCGAAGGGAAGCUGUUAAGUCCGCCGCCUGGGAAGUACGGUCGCAANACUGAAACUUAAAGGAAUUGGCGGGGGAGCA